rnacentral:rRNA from 1 species
AGAGUUUGAUCAUGGCUCAGGAUGAACGCUGGCGGUAUGCGUAACACAUGCAAGUCGAACGAAGUUUUUCGGAACUUAGUGGCGGACGGGUGAGUAACGCGUGAGAAUCUGCCUUAAGGAUUGGGACAACAGUGGGAAACCGCUGCUAAUACCAAAUAUGCCUUUUAGUGAAACGGGUAAAACCGCCUUAAGAUGAGCUCGCGUCUGAUUAGCUAGUUGGUGUGGUAAGAGCGCACCAAGGCAACGAUCAGUAGCUGGUCUGAGAGGACGACCAGCCACACUGGGACUGAGACACGGCCCAGACUCCUACGGGAGGCAGCAGUGAGGAAUUUUCCGCAAUGGGCGAAAGCCUGACGGAGCAAUACCGCGUGAGGGAGGAAGGUUCUUGGAUUGUAAACCUCUUUUCUCAGAGAAGAAUAAUGACGGUAUCUGAGGAAUAAGCAUCGGCUAACUCCGUGCCAGCAGCCGCGGUAAUACGGAGGAUGCAAGCGUUAUCCGGAAUGAUUGGGCGUAAAGGGUCUGUAGGUGGUUGUUCAAGUCUGCUGUUAAAGCGUCUGGCUUAACCAGAUAAAGGCGGUGGAAACUGAACGACUAGAGUGCGGUAGGGGUAGAGGGAAUUCCCAGUGUAGCGGUGAAAUGCGUAGAUAUUGGGAAGAACACCUGUGGCGAAAGCGCUCUACUGGACCGCGACUGACACUGAUGGACGAAAGCUAGGGGAGCGAAUGGGAUUAGAUACCCCCGUAGUCC